rnacentral:rRNA from 1 species
CAAUAGCGUAUAUUAAAGUUGUUGCGGUUAAAAAGCUCGUAGUUGGAUUUCUGCCGAGGACGUCCGGUCCGCCCUCUGGGUGUGUACAUGGUACGGCCUGGGCAUCUUCUUGGAAAACGUAUCUGCACUUGACUGUGUGGUGCGGUAUCCAGGACUUUUACUUUGAGGAAAUUAGAGUGUUUCAAGCAGGCCUACGCCUUGAAUACAUUAGCAUGGAAUAAUAAGAUAGGACCUCGGUUCUAUUUUGUUGGUUUCUAGAGCUGAGGUAAUGAUUAAUAGGGAUAGUUGGGGGCAUUCGUAUUUAACUGUCAGAGGUGAAAUUCUUGGAUUUGUUAAAGGCGGACUACUGCGAAAGCAUUUGCCAAGGAUGUUUUCAUUGA